GUGGCGGAAACUAUCCGCCACCAAAUAACAACCCUUAUGGUUACAUAACUCCACCACCUCCAAAUCCCAUUGUACCAUAUUUCCCUUUCUAUUUUCAUAGCCCACCACCACCUACCUCCAAAUCUAUUCAGUUAAAAGAACACUCUUUUGUCAUUUUUGUUCUUGUUGUAUUAGUUGUUGUAUAAUUUCUUUAUAUGAUAUUGCAGUUUAUAUUUUUCAGGUUCAUUACAAUGUGCAGAAGAACAAGAAGUAGUGGAGUAGUAAUAAUUGUGAGGGUGUCAAUUAUUUUCCAUAAAAAGAAUGGAUCUUGAUUGAUGAAAAAGUUGUUACUUACUAUUACUACUUUUGUUUUUUAACUUUUGUUGAUGAAACAAUAAAGUGGUUGUAAGAAUUAUGUUAUUAGUGAUGCACAUUUUCAUUGUUGUACUUGUAUACAUGUAUUCACUCACCUUGUGUACUACAAUGAAUUUAAGGAUGGAGUAACUUUCUAUAUUUUAUUGCAUUAUAUUGUUUCGAUCAGCUUGAAUGCAUUUCGGCUAAUUUAUAAAGUACGUGCAAAAAUCAAACCGA
rnacentral:lncRNA from 1 species